CCUGAAAUGGCUGAAGCUCCUCCACAGAGACCACCUGGCCAUGUGAAAACCGACAGUUCUCCUUAAAUCUGCAUUUGUCAUCCAAGAAGAACGGGCACGGCUUCAAGGACUUGUGAGUUGGAUAGAGAUACAGCACUCUGACACCCGCACUGCCAUCUUCCAAGUAUUCUGUCCCCACAAUCAUGGCAUUAUGGUACUCCAGCGUCCCCCAAGAGCUGUAGUAUGGCGCUUUAACC
rnacentral:lncRNA from 1 species